rnacentral:lncRNA from 1 species
UUUUUAUCUCAUUCAAGUAUAAUUCACAUACCCAUACACGCACACAUUACACUACUAUACUCAAAUUAAACCUACGAAUCAAUCUUCUAUUUUGAGAAUAGAUUAAAACAUUUCGAGUAAUAAACUCGAAUUCAGUGUACCCCUCUUAUUAAAUGUAUUGAUUUCACUUUUAAAUCAAAACUAUGCAAUAUUCAAGAAGGAAGAAUAAG